rnacentral:rRNA from 1 species
AUUGAACGCUGGCGGCAGGCCUAACACAUGCAAGUCGAACGAGUGGCGGACGGGUGAGUAAUGUCUGGGAAACUGCCCGAUGGAGGGGGAUAACUACUGGAAACGGUAGCUAAAACCGCAAACAACCGGCGGUGCCCAGAUGGGAUUAGCUAGUAGGUGGGGUAAUGGCUCACCUAGGCGACGAUCCCGAGCUGGUCUGAGAGGAUGACCAGCCACACGGGAACUGAGACACGGUCCAUACUCCUACGGGAGGCAGCAGUGGGGAAUAUUGCACAAUGGGCGCAAGCCUGAUGCAGCCAUGCCGCGUGUAUGAAGAAGGCCUUCGGGUUGUAAAGUACUUUCAGCGGGGAGGCGUUACCCGCAGAAGAAGCACCGGCUAACUCCGUGCCAGCAGCCGCGGUAAUAC